rnacentral:rRNA from 1 species
AUUGAACGCUGGCGGCAUGCCUUACACAUGCAAGUCGAACGGCAGCACGGGAGCAAUCCUGGUGGCGAGUGGCGAACGGGUGAGUAAAGUAUCGGAACGUGCCUAUUCGUGGGGGAUAACUAGUCGAAAGACUAGCUAGUACCGCAUAAGCUCGAGAGAGGAAAGCGGGGGAUCGUAAGACCUCGCGCAGAUGGAGCGGCCGAUGUCCGAUUAGCUAGUUGGUGAGGUAAAGGCUCACCAAGGCGACGAUCGGUAGCUGGUCUGAGAGGACGACCAGCCACACUGGGACUGAGACACGGCCCAGACUCCUACGGGAGGCAGCAGUGGGGAAUUUUGGACAAUGGGGGCAACCCUGAUCCAGCCAUUCCGCGUGUGGGAAGAAGGCCUUCGGGUUGUAAACCACUUUCGGACGGGAAGAAAUCGACGUGACGAAUAAUCGUGUCGGAUGACGGUACCGUAAGAAGAAGCACCGGCUAACUACGUGCCAGCCGCCGCCGUAA